GUUUGGAAACAUUGUCCUAUUCAAGACUGGAAAGUUUACUAAAGCUUACCAAAUCUUGGGCCUAUACUAAUUCUUAAUUUUACUUUGUAACACUUCACCUUAAGGAGACCAAGGAAAUUAAGUGUAUCUUUGGUAGGGUACCAUCUCCUUUGGGUUGCUUUAAGGCAGUUGUUAUUGGCACAAAAUUUUUCAAUUUACCAUCAUCUUGCACUGAAAUCCACCAGUCUUUUUUCAUUCUUUUGCAUGAAGUCUGUUCAUCUUGUUUAAUGAUAUUAAUUGUCUUGGUUUUGUAAAUGAGAACAAAUAAAAAACCCAAUGCUUUCUGUAUAUAUCAUUGAUCCCAAAUUUGGUGUGUAUAUUUGGUUGGUUUUGAUGUUUUUGGUUUUGUUUUGUUUUGUUAUUUUGCCGUUAUCACUAUGACCAUUAUGUCAAGGCCAUUUUGGGGGAGGAUAACCGUAAUAGUCCAAACUUGAGAUUGCAGUAGAUAACAGGAGCCUUGGUUUUCCCUCGUAAAAUGUGCUUAUGUAAUUUCUCAUUUGUGUUGAACAAACAGAAUUUCCUUGAGCGGUACUCUACUGCACAUAUAUACCUAUAUACGCAUGAGCAUGUAUCAUUUAAAAAACUGGUGUAUGGGCAAUUGGAACAGUUGUACACAUUCUGUUACCCGUGAGUUAUUGGACUGUAUUAACCAAUUAGUGAUGAUGUAUUGUGUGUUCACUGAAUGCCUAAAAUAGUAUUAUCAUCGUGAUUAUAGAUUAAGACGUUUUGUUUUGAAACUGAAAUUGCAAAAUGAUACAACACCGAAGCCCAAACCAUGAAAUUCGGCCUUCUUUGGUUGACCAAGAAACAGGAGAAAUAGUUGAU